UACGGCCAGAUCAUGUACAAAAACUGGCUCUUGUACUAUUACCGAAGUUAAGCAACGUUGAGCCUGGUCAGUACUUAGAUGGGUGACCGUUUGGAAAUACCAGGUGCUGCAAU